rnacentral:rRNA from 1 species
AUUGAACGCUGGCGGCAGGCCUAACACAUGCAAGUCGAGCGGAUGAAGGGAGCUUGCUCCUGGAUUCAGCGGCGGACGGGUGAGUAAUGCCUAGGAAUCUGCCUGGUAGUGGGGGAUAACGUCCGGAAACGGGCGCUAAUACCGCAUACGUCCUGAGGGAGAAAGUGGGGGAUCUUCGGACCUCACGCUAUCAGAUGAGCCUAGGUCGGAUUAGCUAGUUGGUGGGGUAAAGGCCUACCAAGGCGACGACCCGUAACUGGUCUGAGAGGAUGAUCAGUCACACUGGAACUGAGACACGGUCCAGACUCCUACGGGAGGCAGCAGUGGGGAAUAUUGGACAAUGGGCGAAAGCCUGAUCCAGCCAUGCCGCGUGUGUGAAGAAGGUCUUCGGAUUGUAAAGCACUUUAAGUUGGGAGGAAGGGCAGUAAGUUAACACCUUGCUGUUUUGACGUUACCAACAGAAUAAGCACCGGCUAACUUCGUG